UGUAACUGACAUUGAGGCGGGAAAGCGUGGGGAGCAACCAGGAUUAGUUACCCUGGUAGUCCACGCCGUAAACGAUGAUUGUUAAGUGUUAGAGGGUUUCCCCCCUUUAGUGCUGAAGUUAACGCAUUAACCACUCCCCCUGGGGAGUACGGCCCAAAGGCUGAAAUUCAAAGGAAUUGACGGGGGCCCGCACAAGCGGUGGACCAUGUGGUUUAAUUGGAAGCAACGGGAAGACCCUUACCAGGUCUUGACAUCCUUUGAAAACCCUAGAGAUAGGGUUUCUCCUUCGGGAGCAGAGUGACAGGUGGUGCAUGGUUGUUGUCAGCUCGUGUCGUGAGAUGUUGGGUUAAGUUCCGCAACGAGCGCAACCCUUGAUUUUAGUUGCCAUCAUUAAGUUGGGCACUUUAAGGUGACUGCCGGUGACAAACCGGAGGAAGGUGGGGAAGACGUCAAAUCAUCAUGCCCCUUAUGACCUGGGCUACACACGUGCUACAAUGGACGGUACAAAGAGCUGCAAGACCGCGAGGUGGAGCUAAUUUCAUAAAACCGUUUUCAAUUCGGAUUGUAGGCUGCAACUUGCCUACAUGAAGCUGGAAUCGCUUGUAAUCGCGGAUCAGCCUGCCGCGGGGAAUACGUUUCCGGGCCUUGUACACCCCGCCCGUCCCCCCCCGAGAGUUUGUAACCCCCGAAGUCGGUGGGGUUACC
rnacentral:rRNA from 1 species